GACGAACGCUGGCGGCGUGCUUAACACAUGCAAGUCGAACGAAAAGGCCCUGCUUUUGUUGGUUGCUCGAGUGGCGCACGGGUGAGUAACACGUGAGUAACCUGCCCUUAACUUUGUGAUAACUUUUGGAAACUCCGGCUCAUAUCGGAUAUGAGCUACUGCUGCAUGGUGUGGGUUGGAAAGUUUCGGCUGUUGUGGAUGGUCUCGCAGCUUAUCAGCUGCUUGUUGUGGUUGUGGCUUACCACGGCUUUGACGGGUAGCCGACCUGGGAGGGUGGCCGGCCACCAUGGGACUGAGAUAGGGCCCAGACUGCUACGGGAGGCAGCAGUGGGGAAUCUUGCAGAAUGGGCGGAAGCGUGAUGCAGAAACGCCGCGUGCGGGAUGACGGCCUUCGGGGUGUAAACCGAUUUCGACGGUGGCGAAGAGUGAGUGACGGUAAUGGGUAAAGAAGCACCGGCUAACUACGUG
rnacentral:rRNA from 1 species